ACGUGUUUGUUCUUUUCCCGGCUAUGGCGCCUCCUGUGGUGCUCUUCUCCUCCCGGACACCCAUCCUUCUCAUCCCAGACUCCGAUCCGCCGGCGGUGGAACUGGACUUCCCCUGCGUCCUAGUGCUUCUUCGUUCGAGAUCGAGCGGCCUCGAUCGGGGUUAAGGCGGCGGAUCGAUACGCGACGCCGAACGAGCGUGCCCAAAGGAACCUCGCGGGCUUAAAGGUGAGCUAGGAAUUAUUUGGGUCAGAGUCAUCCAGCUUUAGUCCAGUGAGAUGUAAGUCAAUACAACGUAAACUUUGUUCGUAUAUAAAUAUACUUCUUGUUCA